GAGCCUGAGAUGGCUGCGCUGAGUUUCACUUCAUGGUUACUGUGGUCAGCCUGAAGAACAGAAGGCAGGAUAAUUACGUUGGGAACAUGACCAUGUGUUUCUGGGAACUUGAAGAGCUGUGGUCAGAAGCA
rnacentral:lncRNA from 1 species